rnacentral:hammerhead_ribozyme from 1 species
AUCUAGCUGACGAGUCCGAAAUAGGAUGAAAUACGCGUCACACUGGAU